AGGGGUUUGGAUCAUGGGCUCAGGACGAACGCUGGCGGCGUGCUUAACACAUGCAAGUCGAACGAAGAGCGAUGGCAAGCUUGCUUCUAUCAAUCUUAGUGGCGAACGGGUGAGUAACGCGUAAUCAACCUGCCCUUCAGAGGGGGACAACAGUUGGAAACGACUGCUAAUACCGCAUACGAUCUAACCUCGGCAUCGAGGAAAGAUGAAAGGUGGCCUCUAUGUAUAAGCUAUCACUGAAGGAGGGGAUUGCGUCUGAUUAGCUAGUUGGAGGGGUAACGGCCCACCAAGGCGAUGAUCAGUAGCCGGUCUGAGAGGAUGAACGGCCACAUUGGGACUGAGACACGGCCCAGACUCCUACGGGAGGCAGCAGUGGGGAAUCUUCCGCAAUGGACGAAAGUCUGACGUAGCA
rnacentral:rRNA from 1 species